rnacentral:other from 1 species
AGUGCAACAGCUGUACUGAAGGGACAUUUGUAGCCUUGUAUUUAACAGGACUUUAUCCUCCUGGAGAAGCACCUUUGGUGUAAAGCUGAAAAUUGUCUUUAAAUUCCAUCUUUUAGUUUUCCGUGUAAGUAAAAUUUUUGACAU